rnacentral:rRNA from 1 species
AAUAUAAUUUGAAAAUUAAUUAUUAUUAAAUUUUAUUUUUAUUAUUUAUAUAUUAAAAAUAUUUUUUAGUUUAAUUAUAUUAUUGAAUAAAUUAUUGUUAAUAAUAGAAGAUUAGUAUUGUUAAAGAAAUUAAUAUUAUUAUUUUAAAGAAAAUUUUAAUUUUUGUACCUUGUGUAUCAGGGUUUAUUAAAAAAAAAAUAAAAUUUUAUUAUUCUCGAAUUUAAAAGAGUUAUAAUUUUAUUUUUUUUAUUGUAGAAUAAAUAUUAUAAAUAAGGUUAUUGAAGUGAAAGGCUAUUCGAUUUUAAAUAUAUCUAGUUUUUUAAGAAAAAAGUUUAAUUUUAUUUUUAUUUGAUUAUAGUUAUUAAAUUUUUAAUAUUGUAAUAGUAAAAUUUAAUAAAUUAGGGGAUGAGCUUUAAUUUAUAUUAAUAUAAUUAUAUUGGUAUUAAUUUUAAAUAAAUAGGAUUAGAAGUUUUUAAUUUUUAUAAUGUUUUAUAACUAAUUUAAAAAUUAUUAAAAUUUUUAUAUGAUUUAUAUUAUAUAUUAAAAUAUAUGCAAUAAAUUUUCGAGUUUAGAAAAAAUGAUAAAAUUAGUAUAAUUAUUUGUUUAUUUAAUAAAAAAUUAAAAAUUGAGAAAAGGAAUUCGGCAAAUAUAAUUUUCACCUGUUUAUUAAAAACAUGUCUUUUUGAGUAUAAUUUAAAGUCUAACCUGCCCAAUGAUUUAUUUUAAAUGGCCGCGGUAAUUUGACCGUGCAAAGGUAGCAUAAUCAUUAGUUUUUUAAUUGGAAGCUUGUAUGAACGGUUUUAUGAGGAAUUAACUGUCUCUUUUUAAAUUAAUAGAAUUUUAUUUUUAAGUUAAAAAGCUUAAAUUUUUAUAGAAGACGAGAAGACCCUAUAGAGUUUUAUAUAUAGAAUAAUUAAUAAUUUUUAGAAUUUUAAUAUUUUAAAUGUUUUAUAUAAUUAGUUGGGGUGACUGAAAAAUUUAAUUAACUUUUUAAAAAGAAUUACAUUUAUUUAUGAUUAUAAGAUCCUUAUUUAAAGAUUUUAAGAUUAAAUUACCUUAGGGAUAACAGCGUUAUUUUUUUUUAGAGUUCUAAUCGAAAGAAAAGAUUGCGACCUCGAUGUUGGAUUAAAAUAUAAAUUUGGUGUAGAAGCUUAAUGGAUUAGGUCUGUUCGACCUUUAAAAUUUUACAUGAUCUGAGUUUAAACCGGUGUGAGCCAGGUUGGUUUCUAUCUCUAUUAUAUUACAAUAUUUUAGUACGAAAGGACCAAAUAUUAAUUUUAAGAAAUUAAAUUAAGAAUUUUAUUAAAAUAAUUAUUUUGGCAGAUUAGUGCAAUAGAUUUAGGAUCUUUUUAUGUAAUU